UAAAUGGCCCAUUUUAAACCCUAUAAAAUCCCAUUUUAAAACCCUAAAAUCAUUUCCCUUUUCAGCAACAGCAGCCACCACAAGGACUGCUUUCUCCCCCUCUCUGCCGUUUCAACUCCACCUCCAAUCGGCCAUAACAACGAUGGCGCCUCGACGGCGCGCUGCCGCCGGUAAGAGCUUUUCCCCUUCUUCUUUGUUUCGUUUUUGUUUUAAGAACAAGAAGAAAAAAAAACAAGACAGUAAAAAGAAAAACGAAACCCACUGAUUACCUUCAAAAUUCUUUUUCUUUUUCUUCUUUCAAAUAUCCCUCUAUACAGUAUUUCGCCCCCCCCAUUUACAGAUUUUCGACCGGUUUAUAUAACCGAAAUAAAGAAAAAAUAAAAUCCAAACAAAAUCAUUAUUUCCUAUUAUUGUUGCGCUGUUAUUUUUGCUAUUUCCUUCUUUCUCGUUGUUGUUUAGUUGAUGUUUGUUGCUGCAGAUGUGUGCGCGACGUGCGCAGGGGAGAGUCAUGCUGCGACAUUCGCGGCGGCGAGGGUGAGGCUGCUGUUGGGAUGUGCGGCUAAGGCUGGAGGCUACUAGGGUUUUUUUUGUGUGUGUGUGUUUUAGGCUAAUGGGUUGGGUCUAUUGAAAGGUAUUGGGCUGAAUUUUGGGUUUAGGUUGUAAAUGGUAAUUGGGCCUGCUGUGUUUUUAUUUUGUAUGGGCCCGGGCAGAAAGAAAUUGGGUAUUACAAAGUGGUUUGUUUUCGAUACAUUCAUAGGUCAGCCAAUGGGAUAGUACACAUGCUUGCCUAUUGGUCUUUUCGGGAGGAUUUUUUUUUUUUUUGGUUUAAACCAUCCGAAUGUCAUUCACCAAAUUGUGUUAGAUGAUGCUAUGAAUUUUUAUGUUUGGAUUUUGAUUAAAAAAGUUUAUAUUCUUGUUUGGAUUUAAAAUUUUCAAUCAAUUUUAAUUUGGCAUGAUGCCAAAAAUAUCCCCUAAUGUUUAC
rnacentral:lncRNA from 1 species